GCAUAAUCUGAUAAUGUGACGUCACAAGAGAGCUGUUAGUUAACAUUAAAAGUAACGGGACUGCUCUUUGCGCAACCUACUGUGUCUUUUAACAGUGGGUGUAAGAUUUGAAUAGAUUAAAAUAGUUAGGUACAUAAUAUACAAUAUCAAUGAACAAGUUCUUACAGUCCUCUCCAAGUUCUACCGAAUCGGAAAGAAUAUUUGGAAAAACAGGAGCAAUCGCUUCGGACCGAAGGUCGAAUUUAAAGUCAACUAUAGUCAACACUUUGUUAUUUAUGAACAAAAACC